CUGUCACUUAUAGAUGGAUCCGCGCUGCAUUAGCUAGUUGGUAAGGUAACGGCUUACCAAGGCAACGAUGCAUAGCCGACCUGAGAGGGUGAUCGGCCACACUGGAACUGAGACACGGUCCAGACUCCUACGGGAGGCAGCAGUAGGGAAUCUUCCGCAAUGGGCGAAAGCCUGACGGAGCAACGCCGCGUGAGUGAUGAAGGUCUUCGGAUCGUAAAACUCUGUUAUUAGGGAAGAACAUAUGUGUAAGUAACUGUGCACAUCUUGACGGUACCUAAUCAGAAAGCCACGGCUAACUACGUGCCAGCAGCCGCGGUAAUACGUAGGUGGCAAGCGUUAUCCGGAAUUAUUGGGCGUAAAGCGCGCGUAGGCGGUUUUUUAAGUCUGAUGUGAAAGCCCACGGCUCAACCGUGGAGGGUCAUUGGAAACUGGAAAACUUGAGUGCAGAAGAGGAAAGUGGAAUUCCAUGUGUAGCGGUGAAAUGCGCAGAGAUAUGGAGGAACACCAGUGGCGAAGGCGACUUUCUGGUCUGUAACUGACGCUGAUGUGCGAAAGCGUGGGGAUCAAACAGGAUUAGAUACCCUGGUAGUCCACGCCGUAAACGAUGAGUGCUAAGUGUUAGGGGGUUUCCGCCCCUUAGUGCUGCAGCUAACGCAUUAAGCACUCCGCCUGGGGAGUACGACCGCAAGGUUGAAACUCAAAGGAAUUGACGGGGACCCGCACAAGCGGUGGAGCAUGUGGUUUAAUUCGAAGCAACGCGAAGAACCUUACCAAAUCUUGACAUCCUUUGACAACUCUAGAGAUAGAGCUUUCCCCUUCGGGGGACAAAGUGACAGGUGGUGCAUGGUUGUCGUCAGCUCGUGUCGUGAGAUGUUGGGUUAAGUCCCGCAACGAGCGCAACCCUUAAGCUUAGUUGCCAUCAUUAAGUUGGGCACUCUAAGUUGACUGCCGGUGACAAACCGGAGGAAGGUGGGGAUGACGUCAAAUCAUCAUGCCCCUUAUGAUUUGGGCUACACACGUGCUACAAUGGACAAUACAAAGGGCAGCGAAACCGCGAGGUCAAGCAAAUCCCAUAAAGUUGUUCUCAGUUCGGAUUGUAGUCUGCAACUCGACUACAUGAAGCUGGAAUCGCUAGUAAUCGUAGAUCAGCAUGCUACGGUGAAUACGUUCCCGGGUCUUGUACACACCGCCCGUCACACCACGAGAGUUUGUAACACCCGAAGCCGGUGGAGUAACCUUUUAGGAGCUAGCCGUCGAAGGUGGGACAAAUGAUUGGGGUGAAGUCGUAACAAGGUAGCCGUAUCGGAAGGUGCGGCUGGAUCACCUCCUUUCUAAGGA
rnacentral:rRNA from 1 species